CAAAGACCAAGAAAUUGGGCCUGGCCCACCUUCAACAACAGAGCCUGAAAAACCUUCACCUAAAUUAAACACAGCCACCGCCCCAGACCUUUGACCUAUUCUUUGCUUUUAAGUUUCUUAAUAAAAACCCUUUGAAUAAACCCAGUCAUUUCAGGCUCCUUAGAAGGUGCUUCCGAAUCUGGCGUUAGGGAUUUAGGAGCCAUUGAAGAUAACUUUCCAAAUCGGGAACCCACCCGAUUUCCAUCUGAGUUUUUCUUUUUUUAUCCACGAAUCCCUUCCUGUUUGCGCCGAGAUUUGCACUCAACAACAUCUACGGGCCAAAGGGUUUACCUACCAUCGGAAAAGCAUCUCCCUUCAUUGCCGAAGCUAUUUCACCGUUCAACGAAUUUCUUGGAAUUUCUAUAUCGUCAUGACCGCUCUGACCUGUCAAAGAAGAGGGACAUAAAUUUUUAAGGUUUCCAUACUUACCACAAGAGAAACAUAACUCGAAUAAGGCCUCAAAUUCCACACAUUGGAGUCAACCAUUGACGAACACUUGAGAGGAAUCCUGGUAGACCCGGAAAGUGGAUCCAAGCUAACACACCAUAGGGGAAUAGUCUGGACGGGUCGAAAUCCAUUGACCACGGUUGGACCGUGAGAUAGUGUCCAAACAAUCUAGGGACCUGGUGUUAGCGCCACAUCAUAGUCGACCUGACACUAGAAACAAACAAGCUAAUAUCCAUUAGCAACAUCCAUUAGGCGAAAGGAUUGUGUAGGUUUCCAGAGACUAUUGAUACAGGUACAAAGAGCCUCAUAGCAUAUAUUGCGUCCAAGCAACUUGACCACCACGAUGAGCUCCAUUCUUUUGAUCAAGAUUUUGGUAAUGCAAUCCGAGAAGUCAAUGGUAGGAAUACCAUUAAGGUUGAAUCUACGAAUAUCCCCUUCUUCAAACUCUAAAUCGAAAUUACCAGCACCAUCAAGAAAGUUCGGAGCCAAGCCUUCCAAUAGUUUAUCUUUUCAUGAAACUCCGCUUACCGGGGACGAGUCAACCACCAUAUUUGUCAGAGAGUCAUCACAUCCAUCUUUGAAUCGAACUUUUUUGGUAUUACGAUCAGCGGUGGAUCUUCUCCCUCGCUAAUCCGAUCAUCGAACAAAGUUUCAGCGCUGACCAUGUUCCUCAAAAAAUUAAUGUUCCCAAUUUAAUCACUUUAAUACUUAUAUCACUGAACAUAUAUUGGUAUGUAUCAUAAAAUAAUUUGAAUAUACAAAACAUUAUACUUUUGAUUAUUAUUCAAUUUAA